GAGUCUGGUGAUACCAAUUCUACUGUGUCUCUGCCUCUCUGUCCUCGGCUGCAGGGUGUGACCAGUGGAUGCCUCCUUCUUCUUCCAACACCUUGGAUGAGUGUCCAUUUUACAUGGCAGAGGCUGCCAGAGCAGAGCAGAUGGGCUAGAAACAGCUUUUGUUGCAUAGGUUUAAGCAAAUACAGCAAUUAUGCUGAAAUUUGCUUGAAAUGAAGAUGCUGCUGAAAUCCAGGAAAGGGUGCACAAACAGAAAGUGCAGUGUUGAGUGGAUAGGUCCUGUCUGAUCAAUGAAUGCAUUAGUGCAGCCCAGCUCACAUCACAGGAUGAGCAACAUCCUGUGCUCAGGCUUUUGAGGAAGAGCUCAAGGAGAGACAAUUCCCAGUGUGGAAGUUUCCAGUGUUUCUCAAGCCAGCCUCCAAAAUGUCCAACCCAUGCAGCUGUCUGGGAGUUUUGCUCAAGAACAGCAGGAUCUGAGAUGCUGCAGGCCAACACUACCUACAAUUCAGAGGCAUGACCAGCUCUAAAGGGGGCCAGAUAUUACAGCUAAGAUGCUGCACUGUAAAGAGAGACAGUAAAACAACAGGCCUACAGAGAAGCAGCUAAUAUGUUUUUACAGCUGUAGCUAUUAAAGGACACAUUCACAGCCCAAGUAGGAUCCAGGGCACAGUGAAGCCACUGAAUUAAAUGGGCCUUAGACAAGCCAUGAAGCUCUCUGGAGAUAGCACAUAACUGGAUAUCAGAAAUAAUAUUUAACCAAGGUGAAUCAUUGCAAAAGAUAAAAUCACACUACUGCUUUGCUGGGCAGCCUUAGAGGAUCAGACUCUGUUGUCAGAAGGUGCUGGGCUGUAACUCCACUGCUCAUCCAGGUGUACUGGACAGUGGUAAUUUACCUGGCAGGGGAAGGGACAGAUGGGAAUAAUUUCUCAUCUUGCUGAGGAAGGUUCUUCACAACUCACCCAUCAAUGUCUGUGGUGAGUCCCCCUGAGGAGCACAUGGGAUGUCACUGUUCUGGUCUUAGGAGGAGGAAUGUUGCAGCAAAGGGGCCAUUGUCUCAAUCAGACCCAGCCUGAGCAGUGCCCUGUUCCAACUCCUGUCCCA